GGAGAGGUGGCAGAGCGGUUGAUCGCGGCGGUCUUGAAAACCGCUUUACCUGAAAGGGUAACGGGGGUUCGAAUCCCUCCCUCUCCGCCA
rnacentral:tRNA from 1 species